rnacentral:rRNA from 1 species
UACAGAGGUCCCAAGCGUUGUUCGGAUUCAUUGGGCGUAAAGGGUGCGUAGGUGGCGUCGUAAGUCGGGUGUGAAAUCUCGGGGCUUAACUCCGAAACUGCAUUCGAUACUGCGGUGCUUGAGGACUGGAGAGGAGACUGGAAUUUACGGUGUAGCAGUGAAAUGCGUAGAGAUCGUAAGGAAGACCAGUGGCGAAGGCGGGUCUCUGGACAGUUCCUGACACUGAGGCACGAAGGCCAGGGGGAGCAAAACGGGG